UACGUAGGUGGCAAGCGUUGUCCGGAUUUACUGGGCGUAAAGAGCGCGCAGGCGGUCGUUCAAGUCGCGUGUGAAAGCCCCCGGCUCAACUGGGGAGGGUCACGCGAUACUGAUCGACUGGAAGGCAGGAGAGGGUAGUGGAAUUCCCGGUGUAGUGGUGAAAUGCUUAGAUAUGACAUAGAAUACCCAUUGCGAAGGCAGCUAACUACGCGAUAAUUGACGCUGAGGCACGAAAGCGUGGGGAUCAAACAGG
rnacentral:rRNA from 1 species